CGCCUCGGCGAAGUACGGUGGCCGGGAGGUGGCAAAACUCGAUUGUAAAAAGUUACUUGCCUAUUUGUCGUAGUUCAAACUUAAAUACAGCGACAACACGUUUAAAACAAAUGCGUACAAUAUAAAGACAAUAUUUAGAAUAUUAGUUGUUUUACAUAUAACUAAGUUGGCAAUUAUAGUAUAAUAAAGUCAAAUAGGAUUUUAAGUUAUCCGUGAGAAUUUGCACAACACCUUUGAUAAACAUGAUAUCAUAAAACAUAGGUAUUACAGGUAAUUAGCCUGAAAUGUUGAAGAUCUUCUGGACAACAGCAGAGGGAAGAGAAAAGAACAGGAGGCCCAAAAAGAUAACCGAGGUAAUGCUGAGCAGGGUCACCACUAGCCCCACUUUAAAUUGCCGCCAACACAUGAUGCAGGUCACCCGUACUGGACUCAACAGCCACGACAGGCCCCCAGCAGCUUUUUGACCAGAUAGCCUGGCAUGCUGUAGAGAAACAGGCCGACCAUGAUCAACAUCAGCAGAGCCACGAUGAUCUUGAUGAUGAGCCACUUGUAGCGGUUGCAUAUCAGAUAUCGUAUGGCCUUCAGCGGACUCAGAAACCAAAGGAAGGUGGUGUCAGGACGGCUGUGAUGGUGGACGUGUAAGGGGGUUGCAGGUCACUCGGAGUAACAGAAAAAAGAGAAAACAGACGCAGUGAGGAUGGGCUACCGGUGGUCUUCCCCUCUCUUCAGGCCCCUAGGAGUUUCUUGACCAGAUAUCCAGGAAAAGAGUAGAGGAAGAGACCAACGAGGAGGAGGAGGAGCAGCAGGGCCAGAGCCUUCAGGAUCAGCCAUCGGUAGUUGUGCCAAAUGAAGUAUCGUAUGGACCUCAGAGGGUUCAUGAACCACAUUAGACUGGUGUCUGGACGACUUUAUCCAAAACAGGAAAGGGAUUGAAAUGAAGGAAACGAACAGGAAUGGGUAGGUGGUCACAUGGAGGAAGGAUGUGAAAGAGGAGAGUGGGAGUAUUAAAAAGAGACAUUAACAGCCUCAGAGGGGCGUUCUGCGUGGCUCAGGCUCUUUGCGCCCAAGGCCGACUGGACUUUUCUCUGCUUCCUCUGCUGUCAGUAGAUGGAGCUCUGCUUCCACUUUUCCCUGUGAACAGGAUAUGGAUGGGUUUGGUGUUAUUGGAGUAAACUCAUUCUAUUAUUUCGGCACACACAACACAUACUGACAAAGAAUCAUAUGGUUGUCAAUAACCAUUUCAUAAUUUGCAUUGUUCAACAUUUUCACAUCUGAUGUUUAGAUGUAAAUUUUUAG